rnacentral:rRNA from 1 species
GACGAACGCUGGCGGCGUGCUUAACACAUGCAAGUCGAACGAAGUGGCGAACGGGUGAGUAACGCGUAAUCAACCUGCCCUUCAGAGGGGUACAACAGUUGGAAACGACUGCUAAUACCGCAUACUGAAGGACGGGAUUGCGUCGUAUUAGAUCGUUGGAGGGGUAACGGCCCAACAAGGCGAUGAUCAGUCGCCUGUCUGGAAGGGUGAACGGCCACAGUGGGAAUGAGAAACGGCCCAGACUCCUACGGGAGGCAGCAGUGGGGAAUCUUCCGAAAUUGACGAAAGUCUGGCGGAACAAAGCCGCGUGGGUGGUGACGGGCUUCGGGUUGUAAAGCUCUGUUAAUCGGGAAGCGGUACCGGAAUAGAAAGCCACGGCUAACUACGUGCCAGCAGCCGCGGUAAUAC